rnacentral:rRNA from 1 species
UUGAACGCUGGCGGCAGGCCUAACCCAUGCAAGUCGAGCGGAUGAAGGGAGCUUGCUCCUGGAUUCAGCGGCGGACGGGUGAGUAAUGCCUAGGAAUCUGCCUGGUAGUGGGGGAUAACGUCCGGAAACGGGCGCUAAUACCGCAUACGUCCUGAGGGAGAAAGUGGGGGAUCUUCGGACCUCACGCUAUCAGAUGAGCCUAGGUCGGAUUAGCUAGUUGGUGGGGUAAAGGCCUACCAAGGCGACGAUCCGUAACUGGUCUGAGAGGAUGAUCAGUCACACUGGAACUGAGACACGGUCCAGACUCCUACGGGAGGGAGCAGUGGGGAAUAUUGGACAAUGGGCGAAAGCCUGAUCCAGCCAUGCCGCGUGUGUGAAGAAGGUCUUCGGAUUGUAAAGCACUUUAAGUUGGGAGGAAGGGCAGUAAGUUAAUACCUUGCUGUUUUGACGUUACCAACAGAAUAAGCACCGGCUAACUUCGUG